AUACUUUUAGUAUAACUAGUACGUUCAGUUUCGGCCUGAAAAGAUUUCUUUAUGAUAAAAAAUAA
rnacentral:tRNA from 1 species